rnacentral:lncRNA from 1 species
AUCCUUAACCGAAGUCUUCAGGAUGUAAGAACUAAGGACCUCUGGCUGGAGGAGGGAGAGCACAAGCCACUUGCCUUCCCUGGGCCUCCAGAACCUCGACGACGUCUAAGAUACCUAAGAACCACAGCGACCACAUCGUUCAUCAGGCAUUCUGCAGAAUGCCUGAUCACUCUUAUAGAGAGAAUAAGACAUCCCCGAGUGUGCUGCUCUCAAAAGCCAGCAUCCCAAUCUUCUCAGCAGGGAAAACAGCUGCUACUUCACCAGAGCUUAAAAUAGGAGGUAAAGGGGGGACAUUAAGCGGCUCUGGAGAAACUCAUCGCACUGCUAGUUCCCCCCACCCCCCGCGUGCUUCAGUGAAUCUCGGAUGACGGAGGUUACGCGAAACCAAAGCGGUCAGGACCAAUUCCAGGGCCUCCGCAGAGCCACCCGGACCUUCGGAUUUCAGGACAGUGGGGAAGGAAGCAGGCGAGUGCUGGAAACUGUCUGGAGAGCGGCAGGAAGGGCCGCGGGGCCCCGGCCUCCGCCCCGGAGCAGGAGGCCGCCAAAGUCACCUGUGAAGGAGUCGGGGUAGAUGGACUCCAGAGCCUCCAACUCGUUGCGUUGUUCCUCGCCGUAAUCUGUCAUCGUGGCCCGCGUUGUUGCCCGUGCAUCGGCGCGACUCCCUGGCGGCGGGCUGCAGCGGACACCGCGGCCGCCGGCUGCCGGGCGGGCGCACGCGCAGAGUCGGAGUGGAAAGGCCUGGAGCCACGCCUGGCACGGAUUGCUGAGAAACAGCCCCGGCUCCGCGGGCCGCCCGAUCCCCGCGUCGGAGUUCGACUCAUCGCGCCUGGAAUGCCGGCCGCCGAUUCGCUGCCUGUCUGCGACGGCUCGGGAUUGGCUGGGGGGUGACCGCAGCCCGCCCGGCGUUCGGGAAGGACAGCUACUGCCCGCUGCUGGGCUUUGCUGGCUUCUGAUGGAGACGCCUGGCAGAGAGGCAUCGCCAUUCUGCGCUCGAUGUGUCUGGUCUGAGUCUCGCGCAGGGCGUGGUAGUGGCGCCGAGGGCGGGGCGCGGAGGUCCAAGGGCUUCCGCUUUUCCGCGUUCCUAAACCACGUUUGUCGCCCAGAGCAGCCUGUGGGCGACAGCCAGCCCGGCUUCUUGGAACUUUCAAUGGCCUGAUCUGUGCAGACUCCUGGAAGCCGAGCUGGGACUUGGGGUCGGGGUUCGUCCAGAGGUCUGUCCCAGGAGGAACCCGGGAGGAAGGCUGAAAGUCGAACCAGAGGUUCUUGCACCUCACUUUAAAGUUGUGAAAUAAGUGAGGCGGAAAAAUUGACCUAAAGACUUGUUCAGUUGUUAUUUCAGCGAACAGAUAAAGGGGCGGAUCUUAGUGACAGAUUUGACUUUGCCAAAACUACAAUAAGAUACCGGAAAAUAAUACCUUUGAUUUAGCUCUACUUCUGCUGAUAGAUUUGACAGCUUCAAGUCUAUCACUACAACCAAAAUGUCAAAUGCCGUAACGGCAAAACUAAGAAAACAGAUAAAUAUGUCUUCUUUUUUAAUGAACACUAAAUAGUUACUUGGUUUAUAUUUGUUUAUAAUAAAGGAACACGUACUAGCCUAAACAAAAUGUGGGGAAAUGUACCUCGGGAAGAAUACCCCAAACAUACUAAAAAUGUUUCCCCAAAUUUCUCUACCUUCCUUGUGUAUUAAAGCUGGCUUUACUUGUAUU